rnacentral:pre_miRNA from 1 species
GGGGGGAGCGCCGGAUCUUGGGCUGUGUCCCCGGAGCCCUCUGCUCCCAGGUCUUCGCUGUUGGAAUCGCGCUCCUGGCCGCGCAGCUCCCU